AGUGGGGAAUAUUGGACAAUGGGCGAAAGCCUGAUCCAGCCAUGCCGCGUGUGUGAAGAAGGUCUUCGGAUUGUAAAGCACUUUAAGUUGGGAGGAAGGGCAUUAACCUAAUACGUUAGUGUUUUGACGUUACCGACAGAAUAAGCACCGGCUAACUCUGUGCCAGCAGCCGCGGUAAUACAGAGGGUGCAAGCGUUAAUCGGAAUUACUGGGCGUAAAGCGCGCGUAGGUGGUUUGUUAAGUUGAAUGUGAAAUCCCCGGGCUCAACCUGGGAACUGCAUCCAAAACUGGCAAGCUAGAGUAGGGCAGAGGGUGGUGGAAUUUCCUGUGUAGCGGUGAAAUGCGUAGAUAUAGGAAGGAACACCAGUGGCGAAGGCGACCACCUGGGCUCAUACUGACACUGAGGUGCGAAAGCGUGGGGAGCAAA
rnacentral:rRNA from 1 species